UACGAAGGGGGCUAGCGUUGUUCGGAAUUACUGGGCGUAAAGCGCACGUAGGCGGACUAUUAAGUCAGGGGUGAAAUCCCGGGGCUCAACCCCGGAACUGCCUUUGAUACUGAUAGUCUCGAGUCCGGAAGAGGUGAGUGGAAUUCCGAGUGUAGAGGUGAAAUUCGUAGAUAUUCGGAGGAACACCAGUGGCGAAGGCGGCUCACUGGUCCGGUACUGACACUAAGGCGCGAAAGCGUGGGGAGCGAACAGG
rnacentral:rRNA from 1 species